UACGUAGGGGGGCAAGCGUUUGUCCGGAUUUAUUGGGCGUAAAGAGCGUGUAGGCGGUUCGGUAGGUCCGUUGUGAAAACUCGAGGCUCAACCUCGAGACGCCGAUGGAAACCAUCGAACUAGAGUCCGGAAGAGGAGAGUGGAAUUCCUGGUGUAGCGGUGAAAUGCGCAGAUAUCAGGAAGAACACCCGUGGCUAAGGCGGCUCUCUAGUACGGUACUGACGCUGAGACGCGAAAAGCGUGGGGGAGCGAACAGG
rnacentral:rRNA from 1 species